UGGGGAAUAUUGGACAAUGGGGGCAACCCUGAUCCAGCGAUGCCGCGUGUGUGAAGAAGGCCUGAGGGUUGUAAAGCACUUUAGUUGUUGAGGAAGGUUGUGUGGUGAAUACCCGCAUGACUUGACGGUAAACAAAGAAUAAGCACCGGCUAACUCUGUGCCAGCAGCCGCGGUAAUACAGAGGGUGCAAGCGUUAAUCGGAAUUACUGGGCGUAAAGCGCACGUAGGUGGCGACGUAAGUCGGGUGUGAAAGCCCCGGGCUCAACCUGGGAAUUGCAUUCGAGACUGCAUUGCUGGAGUACGGAAGAGGAGGGCGGAAUUCCCGGUGUAGCGGUGAAAUGCGUAGAUAUCGGGAGGAACAUCAGUGGCGAAGGCGGCCCUCUGGUCCAGUACUGACACUCAAGUGCGAAAGCGUGGGGAGCAAACAGGAUUAGAUACCCACGUAGUCCCUGAGCGGGCUGGCAAGGCGCAU
rnacentral:rRNA from 1 species